rnacentral:lncRNA from 1 species
UAACUUCAGAAUAGCAGUAUUCCAUUUUCUAGCGCUACAACUGGAGCCGCUUACCAAGCGGGUCAGCCCUAUACAGUAGCCGCGUCCCCUGCAUCUGCAGCGGCCGCCACUUACGGAACGCAAAGACCUGCCGGAUACCACGCCGCUUACCAAGCGGGAGCCCCUGGUCAGGGAACUUAUGCUGCAGUUGGUACUGGGGGUACACCAGCAUACGAGUACGGUUACGGACAAACAGCGGCGGCGAGUUACACGCCUGGCUACGACCAGUGUGGGGCUGGUAAGCCUACGUCAUACGCCACCACCUACACCUCUCAGAGGGCCAGUCAACAGGCUCAAGCAACUGCAGCCGCAAAACCAGCUCAAUACGCAGCAGCUUAUCAACCCAACGCCUCUGCUUACCAGGCCACAUACGGACAGCCAACCGCCCAAUCGACAAUAGCCGCCCAACCUACAACCCAGGCAAAACGUAAAUAGAAACCAUUAUUACCACCUAUUAGAUUAUUAAUAGGGAAAAGAGCAUUGAAAUAAAAUAACUAUGUUUUUAUCUCAACACAAGCAGAACGUAUUUUAUUAUGUUGUUGAUGCAACGAGUUCUUAAAGGCUCUCUUAUAAGACUGAAAUGCAUCGAUAUAAUUCGGUUGAGCUUAACCAUUUAUGCUUAGAUCAGAGUCGAAUUCUCUGAAUAUAAACAUAGAUUAUGACUUCUCCUUUUUGCUGAUAAAGAGAAAUGAUAACAUUUACGUGGUAUUUCCAAUAGUCCCACUCAAAAAUGAGAAAAAAAAAUACAAUUAUGCUUGCAUUGUAUCGUAUCGGGGGAGAGAUAUUUAUGAUCCAACAUUUGUUGCAAGGCUCGGGGAAAACCCCCCCACAGAAAAACCCAAGCAGAUCAAUAACAAAUUAAAAUUAAAAACACUGAUAUUAUUAAGAAUAUUCUGUCUAUUCUAAACCCAUUUUGAAACGCAGUUGUUCAAAUCUAGGAGUCGGUAGCGGUUUCGUCAGAGCAUCUGCCAAUUGCUUACCUGUAGGAAUAUAUUUUAAAAUUAACAUAUUUUUAUUUACUAGGUCUCCUGUAAAAUGAUACUUAAUAUCAAUGUGUUUGGAUCGUUUAUGAAAACCAGGAUUAUUUGCUAUCGCAAUGCAACCUGUAUUAUCUUUAUAUAUAGUUAUGGGAUUGGCUAAAUCAAAAUUAAUAUUUUGAAGAAUAGAUUUAAGCCAUAUACUCAGCCUCUGUUGAUGAAGUUGCAACUGAAUUUUGUCUUUUUGUAUUCCAACAAACUGUGCAAUUUCCAAAUAAUUUAAAAAUAUAUCCUGUUGUGCUUU